rnacentral:rRNA from 1 species
AUCCUGGCUCAGAUUGAACGCUGGCGGCAUGCCUUACACAUGCAAGUCGAACGGCAGCACGGACUUCGGUCUGGUGGCGAGUGGCGAACGGGUGAGUAAUGUAUCGGAACGUACCUUUCAGUGGGGGAUAACGUAGCGAAAGUUACGCUAAUACCGCAUAUUCUGUGAGCAGGAAAGCAGGGGAUCGCAAGACCUUGCGCUGAUUGAGCGGCCGAUAUCAGAUUAGCUAGUUGGUGAGGUAAAGGCUCACCAAGGCGACGAUCUGUAGCGGGGUCUGAGAGGAUGAUCCGCCACACUGGAACUGAGACACGGUCCAGACUCCUACGGGAGGCAGCAGUGGGGAAUUUUGGACAAUGGGGGCAACCCUGAUCCAGCCAUGCCGCGUGAGUGAAGAAGGCCUUCGGGUUGUAAAGCUCUUUCGGCCGGGAAGAAAUCGCAUGGGCUAAUACCCUGUGCGGAUGACGGUACCGGCAUAAGAAGCACCGGCUAACUACGUG